GCGCCUAUAGCUCAACUGGAUAGAGUGUCUGACUACGAAUCAGAAGGUUGGGGGUUCAAGUCCUCCUGGGCGCACCA
rnacentral:tRNA from 1 species